rnacentral:rRNA from 1 species
UACGUAGGGUGCGAGCGUUAAUCGGAAUUACUGGGCGUAAAGCGUGCGCAGGCGGUUCGUUGUGUCCGUCGUGAAAGCCCCGGGCUUAACCUGGGAACUGCGAUGGAAACUAGCGAGCUGGAGUGUGGCAGAGGGGGGUGGAAUUCCGCGUGUAGCAGUGGAAUGCGUAGAGAUGCGGAGGAACACCGAUGGCGAAGGCAGCCCCCUGGGCUAACACUGACGCUCAGGCACGAAAGCGUGGGGAGCAAACAGG